GAUGAACGCUGGCGGCGUGCCUAAUACAUGCAAGUCGAGCGAACGGACGAGAAGCUUGCUUCUCUGAUGUUAGCGGCGGACGGGUGAGUAACACGUGGAUAACCUACCUAUAAGACUGGGAUAACUUCGGGAAACCGGAGCUAAUACCGGAUAAUAUUUUGAACCGCAUGGUUCAAUAGUGAAAGACGGUCUUGCUGUCACUUAUAGAUGGAUCCGCGCUGCAUUAGCUAGUUGGUAAGGUAACGGCUUACCAAGGCAACGAUGCAUAGCCGACCUGAGAGGGUGAUCGGCCACACUGGAACUGAGACACGGUCCAGACUCCUACGGGAGGCAGCAGUAGGGAAUCUUCCGCAAUGGGCGAAAGCCUGACGGAGCAACGCCGCGUGAGUGAUGAAGGUCUUCGGAUCGUAAAACUCUGUUAUUAGGGAAGAACAUAUGUGUAAGCAACUAUGCACGUCUUGACGGUACCUAAUCAGAAAGCCACGGCUAACUACGUG
rnacentral:rRNA from 1 species